AGUGAACGCUGGCGGUAGGCCUAACACAUGCAAGUCGAACGGCAGCACAGUAAGAGCUUGCUCUUACGGUUGGCGAGUGACGGACGGGUGAGGAAUACAUCGGCAUCUACUUUUUCGUGGGGGAUAACGUAGGGAAAGUUACGCUACUACAGCAUACGUCCUACGGCUGAAAGCAGGAGAUCUUCGGACCUUUCGCGAUUGAAUGAGCCGAGGUCGGAUUAGCUAGUUGGCGGGGUAAAGGCACACCAAGGCGACGAUACGUAGCUGGUCUGAGAGGAUGAUCAGCCACACUGGAACUGAGACACGGUCCAGACUCCUACGGGAGGCAGCAGUGGGGAAUAUUGGACAAUGGGCGCAAGCCUGAUCCAGCCAUGCCGCGUGGGUGAAGAAGGCCUUCGGGUUGUAAAGCCCUGUUGUUGGGAAAGAAAAGCAGCAGGUUAAUCCCCCGCUGUUCUGACGGUACCCAAAGAACAAGCACCGGCUAACUUCGUG
rnacentral:rRNA from 1 species